GCAGUAACAUAAAUUGCCAAACAGUUAGAAAACCCGGUCACACUGCGCUCAAUUCGAGGUAAAAAUCUUAAACAAAAAGUCAUUUGUGUGAUUUUAAAGUGCACUGAACUUUCGUAAAGAGUACAACAACAACAGCAAACAGCAAAAACAAUAAAUAAAAAGAAACAUGGAUUUUGAGCAUGCCGAUAACGAUAACGACAAUGAGCAUAAUCCGAAUUUAUCCACGGAAAACAGCAACGCGAGCAGCAGCAACAACAGCAACAACAGCAAUUUACAGGCAGAGGCCACAACAGCAACAGCUGCUGUUAAUGCAACUGCAGCCAGCGGCAGCAGCAGCUCAGCUGCAGCACUGUUAUUUAACAUAGAGGCUGAACAGGCCGCAACAAACACAA